UAAAAAAAAAUUAGGGAUUCGAAUUGGGGCUUUAGGGUUCAUUUCUGACCAGCCACAAAAUUGACCAAGAAGAAAAGGAAGGAGAGAGAGGCGUGCGGCUGAAAAGCUCCCGUCGACGGUGAAGGAUCCUGCUGACGACGACGAAGGCUCCUGCUGCAGACGGUGAAGUCGACUGGUGUGUUUUUGUCGACGUGUUAGGUUCCUGCUGCAGGUGUAUGAAGACGGAGAAGAAGGCAGGCGUAGAUGCACGACUCCUAGGUUCUCUCGGCUCAAACAACUGUAGCAGAGGGUCUCGACGGCAGCACCGUUGCAGAUGAUCUCGGCAAUAUAUAUAUAUUUUUUUUUUGCUUCAUUUCUUUGAUAGAUAAUGUUUUUAAUUCAUCCAGCAGUGACGCCGCGAUGGGGGCUCGGGCUGAGCGACAAAGGUGGUUCAAUGGUAGUCUUUGGCAUGGUGUAGGUGAUUUCUUCAAUUGAGUUUUUGAGUUAGUGACAGCUUGGGGAAGAAUACAUGACGGUGGCUUCCUGGGUUCUUAACUUCGACGAAAGCUCAAGGAAGACGAUAUAGCAAGUGGACUGGCGAGGGAACUUGAGGCGCCGGGGGCACACGAUUACUUUUUUAGACCUCAUAAUUUUGGAGCUGAAAUCAUUAUGGUCUUAAAGCAUUGGAUUGGUAGCUAAUUGCAAGAGCAUUGGACCAUGGGUAGAAACUAGAACGUUCGUGGUGAUAUUGAUGAGGAUGAGUUUUUGCAAAGGGAAGAAGAAGUUGUUUGAAGAAUCUAUUGUUAACUCAAGUUAUUAUUAUUAGAUUUCCUAGUUUUGUAUUAUAAAUGUGAUAAGAUUGUUAAUUUAUAUUUGUUCCCAAAUUUGUUUUUUUAGAUUUGUAACUAUCUCAUUGAAUGUACAAGUUUUGUUACAUUAA